GACGAACGCUGGCGGCGUGCCUAAUACAUGCAAGUCGAACGGUCUUUUCUAUGGAAGCUUGCUUCCACUGAGAAGAUAGUGGCGAACGGGUGAGUAACACGUGGGUAACCUGCCCAUAAGAGGGGGAUAACAUCUGGAAACGGAUGCUAAUACCGCAUAAUAUCGAGAGUCGGCAUCGGCUUUUGAUCAAAGGAUUUAUUCGCUUUAGGAUGGGCUCGCGUCCGAUUAGAUAGUUGGUGAGGUAAAGGCUCACCAAGUCUGCGAUCGGUAGCCGGACUGAGAGGUUGAUCGGCCACAUUGGGACUGAGACACGGCCCAGACUCCUACGGGAGCAGCAGUGGGGGAUA
rnacentral:rRNA from 1 species